rnacentral:rRNA from 1 species
UGAUGCAGCAACGCCGCGUGAAGGAUGAAGGCCUUCGGGUUGUAAACUUCUGUUCUAAGGGAAGAAAGAAAUGACGGUACCUUAGGAGCAAGCCCCGGCUAACUACGUGCCAGCAGCCGCGGUAAUACGUAGGGGGCAAGCGUUAUCCGGAAUUAUUGGGCGUAAAGAGUGCGUAGGUGGUUACCUAAGCGCAAGGUUUAAAUUAGAGGCUCAACCUCUACAUGCCUUGCGAACUGGGCUACUUGAGUGCAGGAGGGGAAAGCGGAAUUCCUAGUGUAGCGGUGAAAUGCGUAGAUAUUAGGAGGAACACCGGCGGCGAAGGCGGCUUUCUGGACUGUAACUGACACUGAGGCACGAAAGCGUGGGUAGCAAACAGGAUUAGAUACCCUGGUAGUCCACGCCGUAAACGAUGAGCACUAGGUGUUGGGUCCGUUAGGACUCAGUGCCGCAGUUAACGCAAUAAGUGCUCCGCCUGGGGAGUACGCUCGCAAGAGUAAAACUCAAAGGAAUUGACGGGGGACCGCACAAGCAGCGGAGCAUGUGGUU